GUGGGGAAUAUUCCGCAAUGGACGAAAGUCUGACGGAGCAACGCCGCGUGAGUGAUGAAGGUUUUCGGACUGUAAAGCUCUGUUGUUUAGGACGAAAGUGCCUGUUGCAAAUAGUUACAGGUAUUGACGGUACUGAACGAGGAAGCCACGGCUAACUACGUGCCAGCAGCCGCGGUAAUACGUAGGUGGCAAGCGUUGUCCGGAAUUAUUGGGCGUAAAGAGCAUGUAGGCGGGAAUCUAAGUCUGUUGUGAAAAUGCGGGGCUCAACCCCGUAUUGCGAUGGAAACUGGGUUUCUGGAGUGCAGGAGAGGAAAGGGGAAUUCCCAGUGUAGCGGUGAAAUGCGUAGAUAUUGGGAGGAACACCAGUGGCGAAGGCGCCUUUCUGGACUGUGUCUGACGCUGAGAUGCGAAAGCCAGGGUAGCGAACGGGAUUAGAAACCCGGGUAGUCC
rnacentral:rRNA from 1 species